AGGACAAACGCUGGCGGCGUGUAUUAGGCAUGCAAGUCGCACGGACCUUCGGGUCAGUGGCGGACGGGUGAGUAACACGUGGGUAACCUGCCCUGCAGUGGGGAAUAACCCGUCGAAAGACGGGCUAAUACCGCAUACUACUUUCGGUGAGAACCCGAACAGUAAAAGCAGUAAUGCGCUGUAGGAGGGGCCCGCGGCCGAUUAGCUUGUUGGUGAGGUAAUGGCUCACCAAGGCGACGAUCGGUAGC
rnacentral:rRNA from 1 species